GACAUCCAGAGAACUUAGCAGAGAUGCUUUGGUGCCUUCGGGAACUCUGAGACAGGUGCUGCAUGGCUGUCGUCAGCUCGUGUUGUGAAAUGUUGGGUUAAGUCCCGNAACGAGCGCAACCCUUAUCCUUUGUUGCCAGCGGUUCGGCCGGGAACUCAAAGGAGACUGCCGGUGAUAAACCGGAGGAAGGUGGGGAUGACGUCAAGUCAUCAUGGCCCUUACGGCCAGGGCUACACACGUGCUACAAUGGCGCAUACAAAGAGAAGCGACCUCGCGAGAGCAAGCGGACCUCAUAAAGUGCGUCGUAGUCCGGAUUGGAGUCUGCAACUCGACUCCAUGAAGUCGGAAUCGCUAGUAAUCGUAGAUCAGAAUGCUACGGUGAAUACGUUCCCGGGCCUUGUACACACCGCCCGUCACACCAUGGGAGUGGGUUGCAAAAGAAGUAGGUAGCUUAACCUUCGGGAGGGCGCUUACCACUUUGUGAUUCAUGACUGGGGUGAAGUCGUAACAAGGUAGGCGUAGCGAG
rnacentral:rRNA from 1 species